UGAUAAUGCUGGGAUGUGAUGGGGAGCGAAAUUUAGUAGCGAAGUAGCUGAUUUCACACUGUCAAGAAAAGUCUCUAUCGAGGUUAAAGGUACCCGUACCGCAAACCGACACAGGUGGGUGAGGAGAGUAUCCUACGGCCCGCGAGAGAACUGUUGUUAAGGAACUCGGCAAAAUGACCCCGUAACUUAGGGAUAAGGGGUGCCACCAUCCGGUGGCCGCAGAGAAUAGGCCCAAGCGACUGUUUACCAAAAACAUAGGUUUC
rnacentral:rRNA from 1 species